ACUCCCUCCGUCCCUGAAAUGGCUUCCUCUUUGGGGACGGCACAGGUUUUAAUAAAAAGUUGUAAAGUGUAUUGAUAGUGGAGAAAAAGUGAUAUAAUUAUUAUUGGAAGUUGUGAAAAGUGUUAUAAUUAGUAUUGAGAGUGGUGAAAAGUGAAAAGUAAGAAUAAAUAAAGUAUUAUUAGUGGUGGGGUAGGUUUCCAAAAAUGGAAAGAAAGAAAGAGGAAGUUAUUUGGGGGACGUCCCAAAAUGGAAAAAGAGGAAGUUAUUUUAGAGACGGAGGGAGUA
rnacentral:lncRNA from 1 species